rnacentral:rRNA from 1 species
AUUGCCUCAGUAACGGCGAGUGAAGCGGCAACAGCUCAAAUUUGAAAUCUGGCCCCCUCAGGGUCCGAGUUGUAAUUUGGAGAAGAUGCUUCGGGUGCGGCGCCGGUCUAAGUUCCUUGGAACAGGACGUCACAGAGGGUGAGAAUCCCGUACGUGCCCGGUGGCCGCCCUAUGUGAAGCUCUUUCGACGAGUCGAGUUGUUUGGGAAUGCAGCUCAAAAUGGGUGGUAAAUUUCAUCUAAAGCUAAAUACUGGCCAGAGACCGAUAGCGCACAAGUAGAGUGAUCGAAAGAUGAAAAGCACUUUGGAAAGAGAGUUAAACAGUACGUGAAAUUGUUGAAAGGGAAGCGCUUGCAACCAGACUUGCGCGCGGUCGAUCAUCCGGUGCUCGCACCGGUGCACUCGGCCGCGCGCAGGCCAGCAUCGGCCUGGGUGGCUGGACAAAGGCCUCGGGAAUGUGGCUCCCUCCGGGGAGUGUUAUAGCCCGAGGCGCAAUGCAGCCCACCUGGACCGAGGACCGCGCUCCGGCUAGGAUGCUGGCGUAAUGGUUGCAAGCGACCCGUCUUGAAACACGGACCAAGGAGUCUAACAUCUAUGCGAGUGUUUGGGUGUCAAACCCAUACGCGUAAUGAAAGUGAACGGAGGUGAGAACCCUGAAGGGCGCAUCAUCGACCGAUCCUGAUGUCUUCGGAUGGAUUUGAGUAAGAGCAUAGCUGUUGGGACCCGAAAGAUGGUGAACUAUGCCUGAAUAGGGUGAAGCCAGAGGAAACUCUGGUGGAGGCUCGCAGCGGUUCUGACGUGCAAAUCGAUCGUCAAAUUUGGGCAUAGGGGCGAAAGACUAAUCGA